ACAUGCAAGUCGAGCGAACAGAUAAGGAGCUUGCUCCUUUGACGUUAGCGGCGGACGGGUGAGUAACACGUGGGUAACCUACCUAUAAGACUGGGAUAACUUCGGGAAACCGGAGCUAAUACCGGAUAACAUUUGGAACCGCAUGGUUCUAAAGUGAAAGAUGGUUUUGCUAUCACUUAUAGAUGGACCCGCGCCGUAUUAGCUAGUUGGUAAGGUAACGGCUUACCAAGGCGACGAUACGUAGCCGACCUGAGAGGGUGAUCGGCCACACUGGAACUGAGACACGGUCCAGACUCCUACGGGAGGCAGCAGUAGGGAAUCUUCCGCAAUGGGCGAAAGCCUGACGGAGCAACGCCGCGUGAGUGAUGAAGGGUUUCGGCUCGUAAAACUCUGUUAUUAGGGAAGAACAAAUGUGUAAGUAACUGUGCACAUCUUGACGGUACCUAAUCAGAAAGCCACGGCUAACUACGUGCCAGCAGCCGCGGUAAUACGUAGGUGGCAAGCGUUAUCCGGAAUUAUUGGGCGUAAAGCGCGCGUAGGCGGUUUCUUAAGUCUGAUGUGAAAGCCCACGGCUCAACCGUGGAGGGUCAUUGGAAACUGGGAAACUUGAGUGCAGAAGAGGAAAGUGGAAUUCCAUGUGUAGCGGUGAAAUGCGCAGAGAUAUGGAGGAACACCAGUGGCGAAGGCGACUUUCUGGUCUGUAACUGACGCUGAUGUGCGAAAGCGUGGGGAUCAAACAGGAUUAGAUACCCUGGUAGUCCACGCCGUAAACGAUGAGUGCUAAGUGUUAGGGGGUUUCCGCCCCUUAGUGCUGCAGCUAACGCAUUAAGCACUCCGCCUGGGGAGUACGACCGCAAGGUUGAAACUCAAAGGAAUUGACGGGGACCCGCACAAGCGGUGGAGCAUGUGGUCUAAUUCGAAGCAACGCGAAGAACCUUACCAAAUCUUGACAUCCUUUGAAAACUCUAGAGAUAGAGCCUUCCCCUUCGGGGGACAAAGUGACAGGUGGUGCAUGGUUGUCGUCAGCUCGUGUCGUGAGAUGUUGGGUUAAGUCCCGCAACGAGCGCAACCCUUAAGCUUAGUUGCCAUCAUUAAGUUGGGCACUCUAGGUUGACUGCCGGUGACAAACCGGAGGAAGGUGGGGAUGACGUCAAAUCAUCAUGCCCCUUAUGAUUUGGGCUACACACGUGCUACAAUGGACAAUACAAAGGGCAGCUAAACCGCGAGGUCAUGCAAAUCCCAUAAAGUUGUUCUCAGUUCGGAUUGUAGUCUGCAACUCGACUACAUGAAGCUGGAAUCGCUAGUAAUCGUAGAUCAGCAUGCUACGGUGAAUACGUUCCCGGGUCUUGUACACACCGCCCGUCACACCACGAGAGUUUGUAACACCCGAAGCCGGUGGAGUAACCAUUUAUGGAGCUAGCC
rnacentral:rRNA from 1 species